UUUUUUAAUUUUCAAGGGAGCAGUUCCAGCGCUAAGGAGAAAUUAACAGAAGACCAUGACUGUGCUAUCAAGAUGACUAGGGCAGAGUCUUGCCUUGAUAAUCUGAUAAAAUCUGUAGAGAAGGGGACUGUUACAGUUGCCACACUCAAGUUCUUGGAAGAACAUUCCGAUCAAUAUUUAAAGCUGGGUGAGAUACAUCAGACGACCCAAAAAGUUUCAAUAUCAGUAGAAGAUUCUUUUUCACGACGACGUCGUGAAGUGGACGCUUUUCUCACAUUAAGAAAACAUGUGGAAUGUUUUAUUGACUUCAGCAACAAAUUCACUUCAGGUAUAUCAAUCAUCAAUUUAUUUUCAGCUAUAGCUAUAGUGAUCCAAAUAAUC